rnacentral:rRNA from 1 species
CUAUACACGACGUACCGCAAACCGACACUGGUGCGCGAGAUGAGUAUUCUAAGGCGCUUGAGAGAACUCGGGAGAAGGAACUCGGCAAAUUGACACCGUAACUUCGGAAGAAGGUGUGCCUCUAGUAGGUGAAGUCCCUCGCGGAUGGAGCCCAAUGAGGUUGACAAAAAAUCGGUGGCUGCGACUGUUUAUUAAAAACACAGCACUCUGCAAACACGAAAGUGGACGUAUAGGGUGUGACGCCUGCCCGGUGCUGGAAGAUUAAAUGAUGGGGUGCAAGCUCUUGAUUGAAGUCCCAGUAAACGGCGGCCGUAACAAUAACGGUCCUAAGGUAGCGAAAUUCCUUGUCGGGUAAGUUCCGACCUGCACGAAUGGCGUAACGAUGGCCACACUGUCUCCUCCCGAGACUCAGCGAAGUUGAAAUGUUUGUGAUGAUGCAAUCUCCCCGCGGAAAGACGGAAAGACCCCAUGAACCUUUACUGUAGCUUUGUAUUGGACUUUGAACAGAUCUGUGUAGGAUAGGUGGGAG